AUUGAACGCUGGCGGCAGGCCUAACACAUGCAAGUCGAGCGCGAAAGUUCUUCGGAAUGAGUAAAGCGGCGGACGGGUGAGUAAUACAUGGGAAUCUGCCUGGUAGUGGGGGACAACGUUUCGAAAGGAACGCUAAUACCGCGUACGCCCUACGGGGGAAAGGGGGGGAUCUUCGGACCUCUCGCUAUCAGAUGAGCCCA
rnacentral:rRNA from 1 species